rnacentral:tRNA from 1 species
ACUUCUGGGAUAGCUCAGUUGGUACAGCAGGAGACUCUUAAUCUCAGGGUUGUGAGUUUGAGCCUCACUUUGGGCA